rnacentral:rRNA from 1 species
GACGGUGCCAACGAGUCUGACCUUCUGACCCGAAAGGGUUGGGCAAACUGGUCAAUCACCGUCAUGACAGGGAUCGGGGCUUGGAAUUGUUCCCCGUGAACGAGGAAUUCCUAGUAAGUGCAAGUCAUAAGCUUGCGCUGAUUACGUCCCUGCCCUUUGUACACACCGCCCGUCGCUACUACCGAUUGAAUGGUUUAGUAAGGUCCUUGGAUUGGCGCUAUUGAAGUNNNCCGCAAGGUGUCCGCUNNACAGGUGCUGAGAAGACGACCAAAC